rnacentral:rRNA from 1 species
UAGCAUAUCAAUAAGCGGAGGAAAAGAAACCAACAGGGAUUGCCCUAGUAACGGCGAGUGAAGCGGCAACAGCUCAAAUUUGAAAUCUGGCUCUUUUAGAGUCCGAGUUGUAAUUUGCAGAGGGCGCUUUGGCUUUGGCAGCGGUCCAAGUUCCUUGGAACAGGACGUCACAGAGGGUGAGAAUCCCGUACGUGGUCGCUAGCUAUUGCCGUGUAAAGCCCCUUCGACGAGUCGAGUUGUUUGGGAAUGCAGCUCUAAAUGGGAGGUAAAUUUCUUCUAAAGCUAAAUAUUGGCCAGAGACCGAUAGCGCACAAGUAGAGUGAUCGAAAGAUGAAAAGCACUUUGGAAAGAGAGUCAAACAGCACGUGAAAUUGUUGAAAGGGAAGCGCUUGCAGCCAGACUUGCUUGCAGUUGCUCAUCCGGGCUUUUGCCCGGUGCACUCUUCUGCAGGCAGGCCAGCAUCAGUUUGGGCGGUGGGAUAAAGGUCUCUGACACGUUCCUUCCUUCGGGUUGGCCAUAUAGGGGAGACGUCAUACCACCAGCCUGGACUGAGGUCCGCGCAUCUGCUAGGAUGCUGGCGUAAUGGCUGUAAGCGGCCCGUCUUGAAACACGGACCAAGGAGUCUAACAUCUAUGCGAGUGUUUGGGUGUCAAGCCCGAGCGCGUAAUGAAAGUGAACGGAGGUGGGAACCCGCAAGGGUGCACCAUCGACCGAUCCUGAAGUUUACGGAAGGAUUUGAGUAAGAGCAUGGCUGUUGGGACCCGAAAGAUGGUGAACUAUGCUUGAAUAGGGUGAAGCCAGAGGAAACUCUGGUGGAGGCUCGCAGCGGUUCUGACGUGCAAAUCGAUCGUCAAAUUUGGGCAUAGGGGCGAAAGACCUAAUCGAACUAUCUAGUAGCUGGUUCCUGCGA